rnacentral:rRNA from 1 species
AAAUUGAAGAGUUUGAUCAUGGCUCAGAUUGAACGCUGGCGGCAGGCCUAACACAUGCAAGUCGAACGGUAACAGGAAGCAGCUUGCUGCUUCGCUGACGAGUGGCGGACGGGUGAGUAAUGUCUGGGAAACUGCCUGAUGGAGGGGGAUAACUACUGGAAACGGUGGCUAAUACCGCAUAACGUCGCAAGACCAAAGAGGGGGACCUUCGGGCCUCUUGCCAUCAGAUGUGCCCAGAUGGGAUUAGCUGGUUGGUGAGGUAACGGCUCACCAAGGCGACGAUCCCUAG